rnacentral:sRNA from 1 species
GCCUGCAACUUGUUCUCUGGAUGCUCUAACUGUGCUUCAUUUCUCAAAAGAGACAAGGUGUUCUGCCUCAGGUGAGAUUUCUUUCUUGAUGGAGAGCAGCAACACAUUUCAUCAGGACAUUUUUUUUAUUUCUUGUUCCAUCCUUAAAGCCUUUUGGAUGGCCACUACUGGGGACAGUGUUGCCCUCUCCUUAGGCACAGAGGAAUAAUAGGUUGUCUUCUGUGUUCUCAUUGCUGCUUCUUUUCACCCUAAGGCUGCUUGUUGACUGAAGGCAGAAGACACCCUGGCAUAUAUGUUUUGUCCAGUGCAGGUGUCCUCUGGAGUGGCCUGAAGAGAAGGCCAGUCUCAGUGGUUCUUCUGAAUCCUCUAUGACUAGUAUUAUGGACAUAGGCAUAAACAAGGUUAUGGGAGAUGACAAGUCCAACGUGCCAAUGGUGGGUUGGUUUCCACUUCUCUGCAGUCCAGGCCUAGUGCGGAAGUAGCAUACUCAUCAAGGGUAGGGAAUGGAGCCAUAACUGGAGUAACUGUCUGAGGCUGGUUGUGAAGCCAGGCACCUGGAUAGCCUGUCCUUACAGUAAUCAGUUGAAUGCCAUGAUCUGCUUAGACUUUCUUUGAUAUAAAGGAACAUUAUGUCUUGUGUUUUGAAUGGAACAUAUUGCAUUACUUCCAAAAUUCCAGGGUGUGGCUUGAGAGGUAUCAUUUCCUCAUAGGGAUUUGGGAAAUGCUCCCAUUCUUCUUUGAAGCAGGGGUGCAUUAUCAUGUCUAUGAUGGAUAUAUCUGGGUUUGACUGUCAUUAAGUUGCUAAGCAGGUCAUCUAGCUCUCUUGACACCCAACAGUGGUCAAGAUACACACCUGCCACAUGUCUUCUCAACUCGUGUAUGAAAAUAGAGGCAACAUUUCCAACUACCUUAAAAUGUAAGACUCUAGCAUUCAUAUGUGGUUCUUUGAACCAUCAUAAAUUUAUCCUAGGAAGAGUUCAUGGGCAUCAAAAGUGUUAGCACCAUUGUACAGGUUCAUCAUUUGCUCUGAUUGUCUUGGGUACUAAGGUCAAAGUCAAUGAUUUUGGCUUUUUGUUUCUUAUCCAACAUAUUAUUUGUUUGUCCUGUGAUUAUUCUGUGCCCCUGAGAGUAGAUCCAGGCUGUUAAUAUUUGCAUAAACUUUGCCAGGCCUUGUCCUUCACUAUGUAGCUAUACUUUGAGAUACAUUUGUAAAGAUGUUGAACCUCACCCAGCUCCAUGACAAGGUAUCCACUUGUUUUGGUCUCAAUUACUUCUGGAUGAUGUUGGGGUAGAUAAACACAAUUGUUGUCAUUGCCAUGGUCAUUACUGGAUGGCAUAAGUGCUUCUUCCUCACAAGGACUUGGAGGCCACUGUAUCAGAACAUCCACUGUCUUAGUACCUGCUUUUUCCCAACACAUCCACUGUACUGUCUGUCCAAGCCUAUGUUUUGUUGCCUUGCCCCUGAACUUCCUGCCAUUGCAGAAGGAAGUAGGAUGACAUGGUCUGGUUAAUAUAUUAUCUGGUUGAAGUGUCCUUAGUUUCUAGGGCUUAGAACCCAAUGUAUUCCAUUGCUUUUUCACAUUAGCAGGGUCUGGCCUGAGGGGGAUCAGUUGCUCAUAGGGAUUUGGGAACUGCUUCUAGUCUUAGUUGAACUAGGGUUGCAUCAUGACCACAAUGACUGUUGGCCUAUAUUUAUGGUUGACUAUCUUUAAGAGGCUAAGUAGGUCCUCCAGCUCUUCUGACACCCCACCAGAGGCAGCAUAUACCUCUAUUACAGCCUGUCUUCUCAGCUCCAAAAUUAAGAGAGAAUCAAAUGGAAACUUUCUGACUGCCAAAAAUUAUAAAAUUCCACCCAAGGUCCAUAUUUUGUUUUUUGGAACAUAAUAAAAUUUUUCAAAUAAGAGUUCAGGGACACCAAAAGUAUAAGUAUCGCAGUGCUGGUUCAGCAUUUCCCCUGGGUAGAAUGAGGUACUAGGCCAAAGUUCAUAAUCUUGACUUUUCAAUUGAUAUACAAACCAGCACUCUUUGGCUUCACGUCCCUGUGAAGUAUUGUUUGCCCGUAGAAGUGGCUCAUCACAGCUAUUAUUUGCACAAUAUUUCCCUAGCCUUGACUUGCUCUAGUUAGGCAUAUUUUGGCACACAGUAAGCAAGAUGAUCUCCUGGUUUGAUUAUGCAUUGUAAUAUCUUAGACUCAGAAUCCAUUAUGGUGCAGUUCUUCCACAAAUGCAGGGUCUAGCCUGACAGAGCUCAGUCCUUCAUAGAGAUUUGGGAAAGACUUUCAGUCUUCCUUUAACCAGGGGUACAUCAUCCCAUCUGUGACUGUCAACCUAUAUUUCAUGUUGACUAUCAUUAGGAGGCUAAGAGGUCCUCCAUCUCUUCUGACACCCCGCAGGGGUUAGGAUACAUACAUGCCACAAUGGUCUUCUCAAUUGUAGUAUGAAUACAGAGUAAGAUCUGACUUUUUUAACUACCAUGAAAUGUAAAACUCAGGUCCAUUUGUCAUUCUGUGGACUAUCAUAAAGUUGCUGAGGAAGAGUUCAGGAGCUCCAAAAGAGAAAGCACCACAGUGCCACUUCAGCAUUGCCCUGGUUCAACUAGGGUUCUAAGGCAAAAGUCUAUGAUUUUGACUUCUCCAUUUAUGUCCAAUGGUAAACUUAUCAGGUUUCUCUUCCCUGUGCACUAUACCCUGGUCAUUUCAUUAGCUCACAGUUAUGAUUAUUUGCCUAAAUAUUUCCCUGCCUUUGUCCUCCCCUAGGUGGCCCCAUUUUCAGGUGCUUUGGUAAAGCUGUUGUCCUUCAACAAGUUCUUACUUGCAGAAGUGAGAUGCUGUUCAGGUGGUCGACCAUCAUUGUCUCUGCCUUGGUCAUGAGUGUCAGGCACCAUUGCUUCUUUAGAAGCGGUUCGAUGGCUCUGGGGCUGCCACUGAGUCGAAGGCGUUGCUCCUGUGUCCCAUGGUCCUUAAGACUUUGUAUUGAGAGUGGAAUUUUCCCUCAUCAGAAAUUCUGCUGAGGGCUAGGGUGUGGGGUCUGCUCUUUACUAUGUGUAAGCAUUGUAGCUAAAGAUACUACAAAUAUUACCUAGAAAUAACUUAAAAGUAUAGAAUAAAAAUAAUGGAAACGAUGUAGGGAAACUGAAGCUAAAAUCACAGCAUGUGUUAACUAAAAAUGACCAAAAUGUCUUUGGGAUUGCAGUUUAUUCUUUUAUUUGUUUCUGUUUUACUUUUUGUUUUUGUUUGUUUCUUUGUUUUUUGGCUCUCUCAAGAGGGCAACCCUGUAGUGCAAUAGAUCACAGAUUCAGAUGAUGUCAGGUGAAAUAGUCAUUGGCCACAUAAAGGCUAAAGCCUGUGUUUGGGCAAUGGAAGGAAAGACACAGCAGAACUUUUUGGGGAAUGGAGAGAAAGAAGAAUAGAGGCGGAAGAAUCGGCCAAAAAGAAGAUGGGGGAGAAAGAGGUUGAAAAUGGAGCAGGAGCCACAAGUAGGUAGAGAUUUUAUAAAUGGGCAAUAGAGUAGUGUAGUGGUACAUUUGUCUAAUCUAAGCACUCAGCUUAUAAUUAUAUAAUUGAGUUUUCUGUUCUUGCAUGGGCCUUUUGGCGUUGGAGAUUUACCCCUAUAAAUCUGGCUAGUAUAAGCCUCUUGGGUUUUCAUUACAAAAGACUAAGACAAAUCCUGUGAGAGGAGCAUUGGCCAGCCUUCUGCAGGUCAGGGAGAUGGGGUGGAUGAGAUAAGAAACGCAAGCAGCAGUCCAGGCAUUUCAGAUUAAAGUUGUUUGGUUAGAGUAGCAAACUAGGAGCAGGAACCAGGCAAGAUGGCAGCAUAGAGCUGGCCAUGUGGGUUGAGCGUUACCACUGAUACCAGAGCAUAGCAGGAAUUUGCAUUCCUGUGUUCUCAUUGCUGUUGUGUUCUCUCUGAGGAUGAUUAUUGAGUGAAUUCAGGCGACACUGCUGGCGUGGAUGUAUGUUUGUCCAGUGUGGGUGUAAUCUGGUGUGGCCUGAAGAAACAAAGGGCAGCCCCAGUGACUCUUCUGCCUACUUUUUGACCAGAUUGUGGUCAAAGGAAGUCACUAGACCAUUGGAUGAUGAUGAGGCCUGUGCAUAUAGGGCGGGGUAGCUACCACUCCUCUACAGCCCAACAGGAAUGCAUCAUCAUCAUCAAGGGGAGGGAAUAACUGGACUCAAUGUGUGAGCCUCCAUUGUUCAGCCUUGCACCUGGAGAACUUGCCUGUACAGUAAGCCACAUGAUCCCACGGUUUGAUUAUAUGUUGUGAUAUCUUAGGCUCUGUACCCAGUAUGUUCUAUUUCUUCCACAAUUGCAGGGUCUACCUGACAGAGCUCAGUCCUUUGUAGGGAUUUGGGAAAGCCUUUCAAUCUUCCUUUAACCAGGGGUACAUCAUCACAUCUGUGACUGUCAACCUAUAUUUCGUGUUGACUAUCAUUAAGAGGCCAAGAGGUCCUACAUUUAUCUCUUCUGACACCCCACAGAGGUUAGGAUACAUACUUGCCACAACCGGUCUUCAAAACUGUAGUAUGAAGACAGAGUAAAAUCUGACUUUUUUAUCUACCAUUAAAUGUAAAACUAUGGUCCAUAUGUCAUUCUGUGGACUAUCAUAAAGUUUUCUGAGGAAGAGUUCAGGAGCUCCAAAAGAGAAAGCACCACAGUGCCAGUUCAGCAUUGCCCUGGUUCCACUUGAGUUCUAAGGCAAAAGUCGAUGAUUUUGACUUUUCCAUUUAUGUCCAACAUAAUCUUAUCUGGUUUCAGUUCACUGUGUACUAUACCGUGCUCAUGGCAUUAGCUCACAGUUGCUAUUAUUUGCCUAAAUAUUUCCUGCCUUUGUCCUCCUCUAGGUGGCCCCAUUUUCAGGUGUUUUGGUAAAGCUGUUGUCCUUCAACAAGCUCUUACUUGGGGAAGUGAGAUGCUGUUCAGGUUGUCGACCAUCAUCAUUGUUUCUGCCUUGGCCAUGUGUGGCCUACACCAAUGCUUCUUUACAAGCAGUUUGAUGGCCAUGGGACUGCUAGGGAGGCGAUGAUGUGAUAUCGGGACCUUGGCAUUGCUCCUUAAGUCCUUAAGACUUUGUACUGAGUGUGGAAGUUUCCCUCUGCUGGGGCCUAGGGUGUGGGAAAUCCUCCUUGCUAUGUGUAAGCAUUGUAGCUAAAAAUACUACAAAUAAUACCUAGAAAUAACUUUAAAAGUGUAGAAUAAAAAUAAUGAAAAAGAUGUUUGGAAACCGAAGCUAUUGUCACUUCAUGUGUUAACUAAAAUGAGCAAAAUGUCUUGUGGAUUACUGUUUGAAUUUUUUCCUCUCAAGAGGGCGGCCCUGUAGUGCAAUAGAUCACAUAUUCAGAUGAUGUCAAGUGAAAUAGUAAUUAGCCAUAUAAAGGCUACAGCCUGUCAUUGGGCAAUGGAAGGAAAAGAUAGAGCAGAAUGUUUUGGCAAAGGGAGAGAAAGAAUAGAGACGGAUGAUGCGGGCAAGAAGAAGAAGAUGGGGGAGAAGAGGUGGGAAAUGGAGCAGGCCCAUGGGCUUGCAGGAGCCACAAGUAGCUAGAGAUUUCAUAAAUGGGCAAUAGAGUAGUGUAGUGGUAGAUUUGUCUAAUCUAAGCACUCAGCUUGUACUUAUAUUAUUGAGUUUUCUGUUCUUUGACUGGGACUUUUGGAGUUUGAGAUUUACCACUAUAAAUCUGGCUAGUAUAAGCUUCUGGGUUUUCAUUUCAAAAGACUAAGGCAAGUCCUGUGAAAGGAGCAUUAUCCAACCUUCUGCAGGUCAGCCAGAGGUGGUGGAUGGGAUGAGAAAUGCAAGCAGUAGUCCAGGCAUUUCAGAUUAAAGUUGUUUGUUUAGAGUAGCAAACUACCAGCAGGAACCAGGACAAGAUGGCUGCAUAGAGCUAGCCAUGUGGGUUCAGCAUAACCACUGAUACCAGAGCAUAGCAGGAAUUUGCAUGGGUUUAAUUUAAAACUUCAUGCAAUAGAUGAUGUUGCGUGUGGUAGUCAACAAUCCACUAGGGAGUUAGGAUUCUUGUCCUAGGGAUGAGAGAAUUAGAUUCCUGAAUGAGCAGAGAUGAGUCAAGUGACUCCAGCACAUGGGAAUCUUAAUCAAACACAGUGAUAGACAGACCCAAAUCAGGCUCUGAGUUCUCCUCCUGUAAAAAGAAUCAGUAUAAUAAAUGGAUCCAGGCAGAGAGGGAGACUGAAGACUGCCUGCUUUUAAUGAAGUUUGGUUUAGUUGUUGCUAAUUUGGUGUAAUUUUGUUUAAAGAUAGAAGAGGACACAAUUUUGGCCAGAGUCACCUGGGGAAUUCCUCCUGAGGUUCAGAGCUAACUCAGGGCAAAUGGGCCCAGAUUAUCUGGGAGCUCGUGCUGUGCAGGGACAAACUGAGCUAACAGAAAAACUACAGCCUCCAAGGCAGACAGCAGAAUUUGGAUAAGGAUGAAAUCCUCUAGGAAAGUCUCAGUGUAUCACAGGAUUCUCCUAUUCUCUCAAAAGAGGGUUAAAUAUCCUGUCUUGGCAGAUUAGAAAAGGCCCGAAAAAACUGUUUCUACUUUGCUUGUUUGGUUUAGUUCCCUCGUAUGAGUAUUUAAUUUUCGAAAUGUAUGUGAUUUUGAAUUUUCUGGUUAUUUUUACUAUUCCUCUGGGAAAGAUGUCAACCUAAAAAUCUUUCUGGUUACUGGCUAAAGCGCAUGCUAAUUUGGGAGAAAGACCUUAUGUUUCUGCUUAUAGGAAAAGUAAUUAGGCACUGGACUCCUUCCAGGGUUCUCUGGGUCAGAAAGGGCAGAGGGAACCACCCUGAAGAACUAGAAAGUUCAAGAGAACCAAGCAAGAAAGGUAAAGAUUCCUUAUGCCAUUGUUCACAAUGCAUGAACGAAGACUUAUGAUUAGUUAUUAUUAAAUUUGGCUCAUAAAAAGACUAUCUUUUCACAUGCUUAAA